rnacentral:rRNA from 1 species
CCUACGGGGGGCAGCAGUGAGGACUAUUGGUCAAUGGCCGGAAGGCUGAACCAGCCAUGCCGCGUGAAGGUCAGUGCCCUAUGGGCGUUAAACUUCUUUUGUGCGGGAGCAAUAAUGGUCACGUGUGGCCAGACGAGAGUACCGUACGAAUAAGCAUCGGCUAACUCCGUGCCAGCAGCCGCGGUAAUACGGGGGAUGCAAGCGUUAUCCGGAUUUAUUGGGUUUAAAGGGUGCGUAGGCUGUGAGGUAAGUCAGCGGUGAAAUGCCCCCGCUCAACGGGGUGAAGUGCCAUUGAUACUGCCUUGCUGGAAUGCGGAUGCCGUGGGAGGAAUGUGUGGUGUAGCGGUGGAAUGCAUAGAUAUCACACAGAACACCGAUUGCGAAGGCAUCUCACGAAUCCGCGAUUGACGCUGAUGCACGAAAGCGUGGGUAUCAAACAGGAUUAGAUACCCGAGUAGUC